GGCCAUGAAGAGCAAUCUUCCUCUAGAUCUGUUCUUAUCCCUUUCACCUGAUUAACUUGUUUUGGGAACACUUCAACCUCCGUUUCUUCCCUUACAUUUAUAUCUGUAUUACUUUAUACAGUAUGGACGCAUUUUAAUCCCAGAAUAGAUAAGGUCUCCAGUCUACUAUGGAUGAGGAGAGAGAGGAGAGGGGUCCUACCUCUAAGACCACUCUGUCUGGGGAACAUGGCCGCCGGAGCAAAGCUAAGAGCCCAGAGCAGCAGCAGAGAGCAGACUCCCCUACACCCAGCAGUGUCUCCAUGAAGAGUGAC